rnacentral:lncRNA from 1 species
UAGGGUGGAACCCUAUAGCGACGAUCUUUCACGUUUGGAGUGGGAUCCCUCGAAGAACACGAUGAACACGGGGAAGAACGGGGAGAAAUCACAAGGGGAGACACUCAAGAACAAGUCCAAAUCACACAUCCACUAGACAAUCAAACACACAAGAUCACAAGGUACAUGAACAACAAAGGGAAAGAUACAAGGUAAGGUUCAUCUCCAAGAGGAGGUCUUGAUGAUAUCCUAGAUGGAUCUUCCCACAAGGCGGUCUUGAUGAUAUCCCGCAGGAUCUUCUCACAUGGAGGUCUUGAACUCCAUGGGAGUGGUAGUCUCUCUCUCUCAAGAGUAGAGGUAGGAGCAAAGCUCACCUAAGAAUGAGCUAUCAUAUUUGCUAACCCUAGAAAGGAGGUGGAGGAGGUCUAUUUAUAGUCUAGUGGGCGAAGGGGUAAGUGAGGGGGCGAAUGGGUACAUGGGCCUCGGCCCGAAGCGUUGCACGCAGGCAAGGCCCGGAUGAUCCGGAUGAUCCGGCCGUCGUCCGGAUGAUCCAGGAGGUGGCCCGGAUGAUCCGGCUUCAGGAGAAACCUUCGGGUAUCCUCAGCGCGGUUAUCCGGAUGAUCCGGAGGGGGACCCGGAUGAUCCGGCUGGGUCCGGAUGAUCCGGACGGCGGUCCGGAUGUCCGGGCUAGCUUCAGCCGCUGCUCCGUCUUCUUCUCCUUUCUUCCGUCUUCUCUUCCAUGCUUCCCUCGCGGAUGGUGUAGACGUACACUUGCGCUCGCACUCCUCCUCGACAUCCGUGAUGUUCCGACAAUACCUAUGCAUGCACACGUAAGGAGUGUCAAGUAGUAUACCAUCCUCGAGAGUGUCAAGUGAGCACGUGUAAAGGAGAUGAUUCACCUUUGUGUAUGUGAAGUAGAUGUCGCACGUGUCACUUGCCAAAUGGACUCUUGACAUGGUGAUGUCCAUAGGAUGCUCCGCAUCAUCUCCUCCCCCUUGGGAAAGAUCCGACCUCGGAUCAAAAACCAAAUCACCAUGGGAAAGAGAUGGCGUUGCCAUGUAUAAGUGGUCGAUCACCAAGUUCUCGUCAUUUUGAAGCUCUAAAUGGGUACUCUCCAAUGUCGCACCGUCUUGUAGUUCCUUCAAAAGUAGCAAAGAUAACAAGCACUUGGAAAAACAAAUGUGGGUGUCGUAAGAGCAAAACCAAGCAUUCAAGAGGUGAUUCACCCAACAAGUGUUGUCAUCAAGCAUAGCAUAUGGUUUGACAAAGAAGUGUGACAUUUGGACAUAUAAAUUGAGCACAAUCAAGUACAUCAUGGGAACAAGCAUGUAAAUGGGAGGUCAAGAUGCAAAUAUAUGUGAUAAGUGAACAAGCAUCUACCUCAAGGUCAUAGCAAGCAUGCAUAAAGAGCUCAAUGAAUGGUCUAUGGUAGGCAUAAGAGUCAUUCACAACACCAAAUAUAGUGAAAUGUCUAAACACAUGGGGCAAGUGCAAGACAAUCCAAGCAUAACGUGCAUAGGGUGUAGUGAAGAUAUCGUGGCACUCAACAUAAUGGAAAGAGAAAUUGUUCAACAUGUGUGAGGCAAUCAAGUCAAGCAUGUGAUAAGCAAAGGGACAUGGCAUAUGUGAAGAACUAGAUGCAACACACAAGGCAUAUAUGUCAUGGGGCAUGGCAAUGUGGUAAUGAGAAGUCGAAGCAACAUCGCUAGCAUGUGUGCAAAGUGUCGUGGAGCAAACAACACAUGAAGUAUGAUCCACAAUAUGCAUGCUCAUGGUUUGGGUGUUCUCGAGAUAGAAGGAUAUCACCUCGAAAGCAUGUCCUUGUGCGUUCUUCACAAUGUCAAAGUGGUAGGAAGUAUGGUGUAGAAGCGUGUCGCGAUCGAUUGUAUGAGGCUCGCUCUCAAGAGCUCGAAUGGUCAACUCACGUGAAGUGGAAGUCGACACGAAGUCCAAGUAUCCUACACAUGCACAAAACAAAACAAAGUACGUAUGCACAUGGUAGAGAAACACAUCAUCCAGCAUGAUGGUUCUCAUCUUUUGCACAUAACCAUUAGAAGCACAAGUGCAUGAGUAAUAUGAUGCAACAAUGGCGAUAUUCACGGCACUAGGUAUAUGGUGCAAAGAGAUAAUACAAGCAUGCUUCACAAGGAAUAUGUCAAAAUCUCCAAACAUGUGUGAGAAUGCUAUGGGGGCAAUCUCAUGAGCAAGACUAUAAGCAUUGUUGCACUCAAUACUUGGCAAAUCAUCUAGCAUGAGAGAGGCAACACAUGGAGAUAUAUGACACGAAGCAAUAUGAAUCAUGUGCAAAGCAUAUAGAUGGUUGUCAUCAACCGCAUGAGAUGAGCACUUAUAACACAAGAGACAAUGAUCAAGAUAUAUCAUGUGAGAGGCGUGAGUAUAUAUGUCAUCAACCCAAGAAAGCAAGUAGUGGAACAUGGGUGAUGCAACAUAGCGAGCAUUCAUAGCUAUCAAAUCAAGCAAGCUAGUAGUGUGAAGAUGCAACAUACUAGGAGGAAUCAUGGCAAACAUAUCAUUGGUGCAAAUAGUGGGCAUGAAUAAUUCACAAGUCAUAGCACAAGCAUGAAAGCAAGAUAUGAGUACAAUAUCAUGAAUGUAUUGGCGAGAGGCCAUAUGUGAAUAGCAAUGGGUCAUCAUGACUCUCCCAACACAACAAGCAUCAAUAGAAUGGGGCACAUGAUAAACAUGGCAAAAGGAACAAGGAUCUCCACCAAGCAUGCAAAUACACAUAGGAAUAUCAUAAUGGAGAAUCAUGGGUAGAUGCAAAAAAGGGUCACAAUUGCAUGGAAAAGGCAUAGAAGCAAGCAUAGCAUGCAAAGUGAACACGGUAAAAUGAGCAUAAUGUGAGAAGUGGUAAAUGGCCCAUAGCCGUGUGAGAGCCAAGUAGAGGAGUUGCGCGUAGUCCUUGCGUGAAGGGAACGGUGGUAGGAUAGUCCACGGGAUCCCAAAUCGUCAUUGCUCUCAAGAGCUCAUUUUGUCAACUCGUGGGAUUGCGAAGUUGACAAGUAUUCAUGGGUACCUACACAAAAGAGACACAAAUGAAAGAAAUUGUGUGUGUGGUAAAUGUACACAUCAUUCAUCAUGAUGUGUAUGUGCACGUGUGAGUUAGCACAAGAUAAACAUCGCUCAAAGAAAUUUGAUGCAUGGUAUAAGAACAUGUCAUCCAUCAUGAAAGAAUAGUUAUUAUGUAUGACACGAUGGGGACACAAAUUGAGCAAACAAGUAUAUGGCACAUCAAAAGCAUGUUUAUUCAUGGGGAGCAUAUGGUGCACACAAUUAUUGGGAUCAUGCAAUGGAUGGGAUGGAUCAAAAUCUCCUAAAAUGUAUGAGGAAACUAUGGGGGUCUCCUCAUGAGCAAUAUGGGAAACAUCAUAUGGAGAAAAUGGACAACAUCCAAAACAAUGCAUAUCCGAAGCUAGGUGGUCAUGGCAUGGCAUAUGAGAUAAAUGAUGCAAAGGGAGCAUAUCAAUAUCAUCACAAGAGAAACAAAUGCCAAUAACCAUGGGCUUGUCAUAUAUGCCAUAUGUGCAAAUUGGGUUUAUUUUAAUGGCAUAUGCAUAGUCACUAUGAAGAGAUUGCAAUUAAGACAUAUGGUUGAUCUCAUGCAUAGCAUAUGACAAGUCAAGCGGAUUAUCAAACAUGAUGUGACCUAAAGAAUUGUCACAAGAAAUCCUAUGUAACAUGGCAUCACAACUAAUAGACUCCACAAUAGAAUCAUCAUACUCAUCAUAAAUGGGCCAAUCAUCGCAUGGGGAAAUCAUACUAGCAUGAAGCAUGGCAAUAGGUGGAUCAACAUCAUGCAAGCAAUCAAUGUCAAGAAUGUCCACUAGUGGGACUAGAGCAUCACCUUCACCUAUGUUACCUUUGUCAUUCCACUCAAGUGGUGUAGGUAAGGUGGGAAAUACCAAAUGGUGGUCAUCAUCAUCAUCUUGAUGGAACCAUGUGGGCGGUGCAUCGUAAUCCACCAUGGCCAUCGUCUUGUCCAAAGGGAGGACGAAGUCGUCGAGGAUCGGCGCGUCAUCAUAAAUGGGACCUAGCACCAAACGAGAAGACACAAUAGAGGUAGAGGUCAAGUUGUUAGAAAUGCAAAUGGCCUCACGAGACCUAUCAACUAUCUCACUCUCUCUAUGUGGUGGUUCACUCACUCCCUCAAAAUAGGUGCACUCAAACUCACGUAUGGUGGAGUCACUCAUCUCACUCAAGUGGUGGGGGUUGUGGCUCUCCUCACAUGGGAAUUGUGGCAACUCAUCAUAUAUGGGCUAGUGGUGAAGUCACUCUCACUCUCAAUAUGGUGGCAAAAGUCACUCAAGUCAUCAUACGUCGCCGUGGUCGAAGGGAGAAUCCCAUGCUCAACCAUCUUGUCGUUGUCGCCGUGGAUGAAGGCCGAAGAUGGCACAUCAUCACUCUCCUCCAUGACCGAAGGGAAAAUCCCAUGCUCGAUCAUCUCGUCACCGUCGCCAUGGAUGAAGGCCGAAGAUGGCACAUCAUCACUCUCACCUCCAAAGAUGGAAGCAUCAUCUUUGCUCGCCACCUUGUCGCUCGCCUCGAAAGCUUGGUCCUUGAGGGUCUCCGUAGUCGUACUCGUCGCCGCACCGUCUUGAAAAAGAGUCAAAGUAGACUCGGCACCAUCAAUGCCACAAAGAGGGAUGGUGGUGAAGUCAAACUUGGGAGCAUCCUCUUGGAGCUCGUCGGGCUUGGACAUCUUGGUGGUACUAGCCUCAUGCUUGUCGUAGAGCUUGGUCGCCGCGAAGUUUGCUUGGGGUGGAGAAGCCUUGGCCUUCAUGAGUUCUUGUUCCGCCUUGAGAGCACCAAUGUAGUAGUCGUCGAUGGACUUGUAGUUCUUGAGGAAGAUGGUCUUGGAGAUGUCAUUGUGCAAUCCCAUCAUGAAGUGGAACUUCAUCGAAAUGGGGUCGUCCACGCUGGCUCGUCGCAAGGCAAUCAUCAUCUCCUUGAAGUACUUGUCGAUGGACUUGGAUCCUUGGGUGGUGUUCUCCAAUUGAUGUCGAAGUUGUUCCGUGUAGGUUGGAGGCACAAACUCUCGCCGUAAAGCUCUCUUCAUCUUGGGCCAACUCAUCUCGUAGCUCUCCAAAGGUUUGUGAAGCCACCAUAUCGAGGAGGUAGUCGUGGAAGUUUCUUGUGGCGCACUUCACUUGAUCUUCGGGACGAACUUGAUGUAGCUUGAGGUAGUCGUCCAUCAAACGCUCCCACUCGAGGUACUCCUCGGGUUCUUGAGUCCCAUAGAAAGGAAUCGCGUGGUCGAUGUCGAGGUCGUAGUAGCUCGUGGAAGUCGCGGGCUUGAGCUUGGGGAGCUUCUCUUGAGCGUAGUCUUGGGGUUCUUGUUGGCGAAGAUGCCGUAUGUCCGUAGGCGAAGAUGCCUUGAAGUCGCUUGGCGAAGAUGCCAAGGGAGAUGGUGAAGUCAUUGAGUGGUUGUUGAUGUAGAGCUCUUGACCUUCACGUUCUUGUUGGUGAUGGUGUCGAUGCCGAUGUGAUCUUGCCGGAGAUGGUAGCUCAGAAGCAUGUGCUCUUGAGCGUCUUCUCGAAGAUGAGGAAGAUCGCUUGUAGGACUUGAUGAGGGCUUUGAUCUCCUCCAUUUUAGCUUGCAUCUUGGCGUCGGAGUUGUUGUUCAUGGCAUCGAACACGUCGUUGUUGUUGUAGACCGAAGAUGAAAUGCCUUGCCUAUCCAUCACAAGACUCGAGUAGAGGUGAGUAGGAAAUGAGAUAAACAAUACCAAGUUACCUUUUCCCAAAGUUGAGGAUGUAUCCCGUGUCACUCAAUGUGAGAUGAAAGAAUAGUGGAAUUGGUACCGGACUUGUUCACUCACACCUAUCAAGUAAAAGCUUAUGGUAGAGCUUGGUGAGGAUAGUGGCACAAAAAUUUAAUGCAAAAUGUUAGCAAGAGUCAAUAAUGUUGAAAGAGAUUCACAAAUUCGCAAGUGAAACAAAUGGACCAAUAGCAAAGAAUGGCACACGGAAACACACACACGGAUAGAUAAAUGGGGUCGUGCAACCAAGGAGUGAGCACAAAAUGUGGAAUCCACGGAAAACGCUCGUGUUGCACAACUCAAGAGAGACGCUAGCACGAUUUCUCAAUAGGCGGAUACGACACUUGUGCACAACCUAUAAGAUGCAAAAUGGAUAUUCUUCUAUCCCAAGUAUGCUAUGUAUGUAUGUUUCCCGGUGUUUCUCACACAAUGAUCCAAGAUGAUCAAAUAUGAUACCGUAUGAUAUAUUGUGAUGCUAUGGCUAUUGCUUACAAGCUCUUUGCUCUCUUUCUUUUGCUUAAAAGCUUUAUUCUCUCUUUUUUUUCUAUGGCCACUUUUGCACAAUGCACAAACCAAGAUAGCAAUUGUGUAUAUGCGGGAACAAACUUGAGGCACAAUGGAUGAUAUGAUACCAAGAUGAUAUGGUAUGUAUGCAAUGGAUGGUGUAGACCACUAAUGUGCACAAGUCACGUUGCCGGCAAUACUCAAAUGGCUAGUCUCGAUAGGCAAGUAACGCAAAAUGGGCUAGGGGUUAACAAUGCAAUUGCAAGGGAAUAUACAAAGGUGUCGUUGAGGUUACCGUCCUUUGCGAUGAUGAGUGGCGGUGUUCUUGGUGUAGAUACCAAGAUGAUGGAGACUCGUCCCUAAGUAGCCGAAACACCUUAGGAAACGGAAAAACCGCGAACUCAAAAUCUCAAAUGACAAAUGUCAAAUGGUGGUAGCGGAAAGCGGUGGUGGUGUUGCACUAGGCAAUGCGUAAGUGGAAUGAUGGGCUAUACACGAGUCGGAGUUGAAGUUGCCGUCCCUAAGUAGCCGAAACACCUUAGGAGACACAAGCCACAACUCAAACAAAAUUGGAUUAAGUUGGGGUGGAAUUGUAUGGUGGGCAAGGUUAUGCGGAAGUGGUGGUGGUGGUUGAUGAAGAAGCAAUUGUCCCUAAGUAGCCAAAACACCUUAGGAGACUCUAAUCACAACUCAAACAACCACAUAUGCAAUGGGGAACAAAAUGGGUUAGGUUGCGGAAGUCGGUGGUGGUAAUGCGGAUGAUAUGGUGGAGGGCCUAGGCAAAUUUGCCACAUUUCAGAAAAUAUGAUGGAGUCAAAUUAUGUUGGUGGUAUUUUUGUGGGAUAGGGGAUGUCAAUAGCUUCAAAACGAGCUAAAGAACGUCAAAAAUGGAGUUCGGAUGAAUUAGUUAUGACCAAAACAAAAUUUCAGCCGAGUCAGUGUCAGGGUUAACCGGACAUCCGGGAGGAGGUCCAGAUCCGGGCUAGGUCCGGAUGAUCCGGGUGUACAUCCGGAUGAUCCGGGUUCGUCAGCUCCGGUUCUGUUUUCUGGGUNNNNNNNNNNNNNNNNNNNNNNNNNNNNNNNNNNNNNNNNNNNNNNNNNNNNNNNNNNNNNNNNNNNNNNNNNNNNNNNNNNNNNNNNNNNNNNNNNNNNNNNNNNNNNNNNNNNNNNNNNNNNNNNNNNNNNNNNNNNNNNNNNNNNNNNNNNNNNNNNNNNNNNNNNNNNNNNNNNNNNNNNNNNNNNNNNNNNNNNNNNNNNNNNNNNNNNNNNNNNNNNNNNNNNNNNNNNNNNNNNNNNNNNNNNNNNNNNNNNNNNNNNNNNNNNNNNNNNNNNNNNNNNNNNNNNNNNNNNNNNNNNNNNNNNNNNNNNNNNNNNNNNNNNNNNNNNNNNNNNNNNNNNNNNNNNNNNNNNNNNNNNNNNNNNNNNNNNNNNNAUCCGGGCAAGUCAAUCCGCUCGGGAUUUGCUCGUGGAGUCCGUUUUCGGGGCGGAAAUGGAGGAUUUUCGGGGAAAAUUUGAGGAGAUUUCGUGGAUGGAAGGUGGGGAAACUUGGGGAAAUGCUAGAUCCACUUGAAACCAAGCAAAUCCACGGAUCAAAAUCAACAAAACAUCAUCAAACCAACAAAUCACAAAAAAAUUUGGGGCUAUUUUUGGUGGGGAUUUUCGGAUUUAGGACGAAAACAACAAAAUCAAGCUAGAAAACAAGGGGUAGGGGCUCCAAAAACGUGAUCAACGUGGCUCAUGAUACCAUAUGAUGUAGGGUGGAACCCUAUAGCGACGAUCUUUCACGUUUGGAGUGGGGUCCCUCGAAGAACACGAUGAACACGGGGAAGAACGGGGAGAAAUCACAAGGGGAGACACUCAAGAACAAGUCCAAAUCACACAUCCACUAGACAAUCAAACACACAAGAUCACAAGGUACAUGAACAACAAAGGGAAAGAUACAAGGUAAGGUUCAUCUCCAAGAGGAGGUCUUGAUGAUAUCCUAGAUGGAUCUUCCCGCAAGGGGGUCUUGAUGAUAUCCCGCAGGAUCUUCUCACAUGGAGGUCUUGAACUCCAUGGGAGUGGUAGUCUCUCUCUCUCAAGAGUAGAGGUAGGAGCAAAGCUCACCUAAGAAUGAGCUAUCAUAUUUGCUAACCCUAGAAAGGAGGUGGAGG